AUUGAACGCUGGCGGCAUGCCUUACACAUGCAAGUCGAACGGCAGCACGGGUGCUUGCACCUGGUGGCGAGUGGCGAACGGGUGAGUAAUACAUCGGAACAUGUCCUGUAGUGGGGGAUAGCCCGGCGAAAGCCGGAUUAAUACCGCAUACGAUCUACGGAUGAAAGCGGGGGCCCUUCGGGCCUCGCGCUAUAGGGUUGGCCGAUGGCUGAUUAGCUAGUUGGUGGGGUAAAGGCCUACCAAGGCGACGAUCAGUAGCUGGUCUGAGAGGACGACCAGCCACACUGGGACUGAGACACGGCCCAGACUCCUACGGGAGGCAGCAGUGGGGAAUUUUGGACAAUGGGCGAAAGCCUGAUCCAGCAAUGCCGCGUGUGUGUAGAAGGCCUUCGGGUUGUAAAGCACUUUUGUCCGGAAAGAAAUCCUUGGCCCUAAUACGGUCGGGGGAUGACGGUACCGGAAGAAUAAGCACCGGCUAACUACGUG
rnacentral:rRNA from 1 species